AAAUUGAAGAGUUUGAUCAUGGCUCAGAUUGAACGCUGGCGGCAGGCCUAACACAUGCAAGUCGAACGGUAACAGGAAACAGCUUGCUGUUUCGCUGACGAGUGGCGGACGGGUGAGUAAUGUCUGGGAAACUGCCUGAUGGAGGGGGAUAACUACUGGAAACGGUAGCUAAUACCGCAUAACGUCGCAAGACCAAAGAGGGGGACCUUAGGGCCUCUUGCCAUCGGAUGUGCCCAGAUGGGAUUA
rnacentral:rRNA from 1 species